AGUGAAUAGAUACCCUGGUAGUCCUUGCUGUAAACUAUGUAUACUUGAUGUAGUUGGACUCAAACCCCGACUGUGUCGAAAGCUAACGCGAUAAGUAUACCGCCUGGGAAGUACACUCGCAAGGGUGAAACUCAAAAGAAUUGACGGGGACCCGCACAAGCAGUGGAGCAUGUGGUUUAAUUCGAUGCAACGCGAAGAACCUUACCUGGGUUCGAAAUGUAUAUGACAUCGUAAGAGAUUACGANGUUUCCGCAAGGGACAUAUAUAUAGGUGCUGCAUGGCUGUCGUCAGCUCGUGCCGUGAGGUGUUUGGUUAAGUCCAGCAACGAGCGCAACCCUUGUUGUUAGUUGCCAGCGAGUCAAGUCGGGCACUCUAACGAGACUGCCUGGGUUAACCAGGAGGAAGGUGAGGAUGACGUCAAGUCCGCAUGGCCUUUAUGCCCAGGGCUACACACGUGCUACAAUGGUCGGUACAGAGGU
rnacentral:rRNA from 1 species